rnacentral:rRNA from 1 species
AUUGAACGCUGGCGGCAGGCCUAACACAUGCAAGUCGAACGAGUGGCGGACGGGUGCGUAAUGUCUGGGAAACUGCCCGAUGGGAGGGGAUAACUACUGGGAAAGGGAGCUAAUACCGCAUACCCUAGGAUGUGCCCAGAGGGGAUUAGCUAGUAGGUGGGGUAACGGCUCACGUAGGCGACGAUCCCUAGAUGGUCGAAGAGGAUGACCAGCCACACUGGAACGGAGACACGGUCCAGACUCCGACGCGAGGCAGCAGUGGGGAAUAUUGCACAAUGGGCGCAAGCCUGAUGCAGCCAUGCGGCGUGUAUGAAGAAGGCCUUCGGGUUGUAAAGUACUUUCAGCGAGGAGGCGUUACUCGCAGAAGAAGCACCGGCUAACUCCGUGCCAGCAGCCGCGGUAAUAC